UACCGGAUGGUUGUUUGAACCGCAUGGUUCAACAUAAAAGGUGGCUUCGGCUACCACUUACAGAUGGCCGCGGCGCAUUAGCUAGUUGGUGAGGUAACGGCUCCCAAGGCAACGAUGCGUAGCCGACCUGAGAGUGAUCGGCCACACUGGGACUGAGACACGGCCCGACUCCUACGGGAGGCAGCAGUAGGGAAUCUUCCGAUGGACGAAAGUCUGACGGAGCAACGCCGCGUGAGUGUGAAGGUUUUCGGAUCGUAAAGCUCUGUUGAGGGAAGAACAAGUACCGUUCGAAUAGGGCGGUACCUUGACGGUACCUACCAGAAAGCCACGGCUAAACGUGCCAGCAGCCGCGGUAAUACGUAGGUGGCAAGCGUUGUCCGGAAUUAUUGGGCGUAAGGGCUCAGGCGGUUUCUUAAGUCUGAUGUGAAAGCCCCCGGCUCAACCGGGGAGGGUCAUUGGAAACUGGGGAUGAGUGCAGAAGAGGAGAGUGGAAUUCCACGUGUAGCGGUGAAAUGCGUAGAGAUGUGGAGGACACCUGGCGAAGGCGACUCUCUGGUCUGUAACUGACGCUGAGGGCGAAAGCGUGGGGAGCGAACAGGAUUAUACCCUGGUAGUCCACGCCGUAAACGAUGAGUGCUAAGUGUUGGGGGUUUCCGCCCCUUAGUGCUGCCUAACGCAUUAAGCACUCCGCCUGGGGAGUACGGUCGCAAGACUGAACUCAAAGGAAUUGACGGGGGCGCACAAGCGGUGGAGCAUGUGGUUUAAUUCGAAGCAACGCGAAGAACCUUCCAGGUCUUGACAUCCUGACAAUCCUAGAGAUAGGACGUCCCCUUCGGGGGCAGAGUGACAGGUGGUGCAUGGUUGUCGUCGCGUGUCGUGAGAUGUUGGGUUAAGUCCCGCAACGAGCGCAACCCUUGAUCUUAGUUGCCAGCAUUCGUGGCCUCUAAGGUGACUGCCGGUGACAAACCGGAGGAAGGUGGGGAUGACGUCAAAUCAUCAUGCCCC
rnacentral:rRNA from 1 species